GAGCAGCAGGUCUGUGAAUCAGCUGUAUGGGGAAGAAGUUACUGCCCCAGAAGCUCAGGGGAUGAAAGGCUACCUUGCCGUCUGCUGACAGGACCAUUCCACCUCAAUGGCAUCAGACUUGGAGCAUCCAAAUGUGGCAUUUCUGAAAAAUAGAGGCCACCAGACCCACUAUCGCCAGAGGCGUCAUGGAAGAGAGACUGUGGAGCCAAGCAUGAGGACAGCAUGUGGGGAAGAAGCCAUGUGUAACCCAUACUGCAACUUCCAGGAGGGGAGCAGGAAAUCCAGUCUCCCUCCCCAUUGAAUUCCCAGCGCAUGGAACACAAGGUACAUAGUGAUCCCUGCUACUUCCCAUUCACAUCCUGGGUGCUCACUCUGCACCAGCCGUGUGGUCAAAAGCGGUAAACAAGAUAGAUCCUCAUUUGUUCCCACACGUCCAUCAGGAGGAACCAAAAGAGACCCAAAGCGUUCCCUCAGCCUUUCUACCCCAUGAGGACACAGUAAGACGACACGAGGUCCUCACCUUCACCCCAUCUGCUGCUGCCACAAUCUUGGACUUCCCAGCCACCAGAAGAGAAAUAAAUGUCUGUUACU